GACGGAGGGUGCAAACGUUGUUCGGAAUCACUGGGCGUAAAGGGCGCGUAGGCGGACUCGUAAGUCGGGAGUGAAAACUCGGGGCUCAACCCCGAGCCUGCUUCUGAAACUGCGAGUCUUGAGGACCGGAGAGGAAAGUGGAAUUCCUAGUGUAGCGGUGGAAUGCGUAGAUAUUAGGAAGAACACCAGUGGCGAAGGCGACUUUCUGGACGGUCCCUGACGCUGAGGCGCGAAAGCUAGGGGAGCAAACAG
rnacentral:rRNA from 1 species